rnacentral:rRNA from 1 species
GGAAUUUUGCGCAAUGGGCGGAAGCCUGACGCAGCAACGCCGCGUGGAGGAUGAAGGUCUUUGGAUUGUAAACUCCUGUCAGCAGGGAAAAAGCGACUGGACCGAAUACGUCCGGGAGUUGAUUGUACCUGCAGAGGAAGCCCCGGCCAACCCUGGUCCAGCAGCCGCGGUAAUACAGAGGGGGCGAGCGUUAUUCGGAAUUAUUGGGCGUAAAGGGCGCGUAGGCGGCUUUGCAAGUGGCGGGUGAAAGCCCUCGGCUUAACCGAGGAACUGCCUGUCAGACUGUGAGGCUUGAGACCGGGAGAGGUGAGUGGAAUUCCCAGUGUAGCGGUGAAAUGCGUAGAUAUUGGGAGGAGCACCAGUGGCGAAGGCGGCUCACUGGACCGGAACUGACGCUGAGGCGCGAAAGCGUGGGGAGCAAAC